rnacentral:snoRNA from 1 species
UGGGUGAAUACUAUGUUCUUUUUCAACGUUUCACACAGCCAGACACCACACAAAAAGAAAAUUUUCCUUUGAGAUUAUUUUUUAUAGUAUGCUGGGUUUUUUUUUUUGGCAUGUCAUUAUUAAAAGUGACUAUAAAG